CGGGCCGCGGAGGCCUCGGCGGCGCCAGUCUCCGCUCCGGGAGCGCGGCGGGCGGCAAAACCCGGGCCGGAUGGGGUUGCGGAUCGUACGACGUGGCGGCGUGGCCGGUCUGCAGGCCGCACGCACACAUGCAGAGGCCCCGCUCCGGCGUCCUCCACCCGGCUGGGGAAGCUGCAGGCUCCCAGUCGGGCCCCGGGGAGGGAAAAGAUGGGCAAAAGGGCACAGCCACCUCUGCGGUUGCCGGGACCCGAGGAUGCAUGAGCCGUUUCUGGAAAAGUCACAUUUUCCAGGUUUCGUGAAGGAGUCGCCGCUCCUAUUCUAAAUCAGGAGGCGGCUGUGCGUCUAUUUCAGGGAGAGAGGAAGGUGUGAAAACCAGACCGGACUCCGGGAAACGUGGGCAGUGAGGUUGCACCGCACCCGAGGUCCACUCAGUCCCCUUCUUGACCCCGCAGACCCGGCUGUCUUCGUUAGCUUAGGGCGGGGGCGUGGCUCGGUGUAGAGGUCUGGGGUUCACCCCAGAAGCGGAGCGGACCCCACUCACUUUAAUGUAAGGGCCUCGACUUCUCAAAGUGAAAAGACGCGUGAAAUAAUACUUCCGUUUUUCACCUGGAUCCUUGCGUGUACCACUAGCUUUUCCUUAAAGUGGAGGGAAUCGAACCCCAAGCCUCCUGCCUGCUAUGAAAGCUCUCUGCCAACUGAACUCCAUCCCCAACCAUUGCCCUGGAGUCAAUGAAGUAUGUGUGUUUCUAACCGUCCCCGGUGACUGGGGAGGAGUCCCACGGUAUGAGUUUCAAGGUUUAUUAGUUGGUAUCUGCCAGAGGCUCUUCAGUGCUCACCAUAAGCACUGAGUAAAGGCUUUUUUGUUCUGUUUUGUUUUCCUGAAUGAGUGUUUGUAAGCAAGAAAGAAGUCCUGAGGAGCUUAGAGGAAAGAUCUGCUAACUUUAACUAAGGAUAGGCAGGGCUUCAUGACCUGCUGGGCAGUUGAGCAGCACCUUGGAGACCAGCCACGGAUGCCAAGAGAGGCCAUUCCAUGCUGAGAUGACAAGAGCAAAGGAAUGAAUGUGUGAUGGAAACAUAGUGAUGGAAACGUGUAAUACAAUAAAGAAUAUGGACGCAUGGAAACCAAGAGAAAGAGACAGCAGAGAGGGCAGUAGGCAGUUGAUGGGAAUUUCAGGGAAAUACCAUGGCAUGAAAAAUGACAAGGAAAACCCCCGACUUGGGAAGUGGGGAGACACUGCAUAGCACUAUGGAGGCUCUCCCUGAAAAGGGGGGAGAAAGAACUGGCUGCAUCGAGCCUCCAUAUUUUGAAGCCCAGGGUCCUACCGUUGCAACACGUGUGCUGCCGGUCACAUUGGACAGCCUCCUACGGAAAACCAAAGAACACAGUCUCCAGAGUCAAGCUGACCUGAGGGCUGCACAGGCGUCAUUCUUCAUUCCCUGUGCCAUUUGGCUCCAGCAACUACAAGACCUUUCUGGGCUCAAAUAACUUCAUCUGUGAAAUGGAGGGAAUAACAGUAUCUGCCGACCAGGGCCUUGUGAGGAUCAGAAACAAUGUCUGUGAAACCCUCAGUGCCUGCUGGCCUGUGAGGUCUCAGGCUGGGAGAGGGAAGCUUCCAUGGGAAGCUAAGGGCAGAGGAAAACACUUGUUCUUAGCAGUUUCUUCCUCUGUCGUGGCGGCAGUCCUUGUACCCACAAACGUCCCUCUCUCCUCUCAGACAGUAAAAAUGUACUUUUUCACUCUCUGGAGUCAUGGGUGGCCAUGUAGUAAACCUCGGUCACCGGUGUAGACAACAGUUAUGUGUGACUGUCGAGCUUUUGGCUAGGUUCUAUUUUUCCAUUCGCUACUACAACCACAGUGCUCAGAUCACGUCUCCCGGAGUCUGAUAGGGGAGAGGGUGCAGAGCCUGCAGUAACCCUUGAGAGAGGUGUAGCACAAGGGGAGAACAAAUUUGGAUUUCAGGCCACAGGGAAACUUGGGGGCUCUUUGGUUCAGAAGCCUUGUUUAACUAGUCCUGGGAGGAGAAGGGGCCACUUCCCGGUAUUGAAACCUUGAGAAAGGUUUUACUCCUCUCGGGCAGCCGUCCCUUCCCCUACAAAAUGUGGGUGCAAUAUGCUCGGUCCCAGGUUUGGAGGAAAAAAUGUUUGCAUGUUCGCAGUGUUUCGCGUUGUGCCUGGUAACUGGUAGGGACACACAAAGUGACAAGGUCAGUUGUCACCUCACAGUAGCAGCCUCUCUCCCCACCAGCUGAAUGAGACCAGCUGUCAGUGCUCACGGUGUCUGCUGCUGCCAGGCCCUUGUCUUUGUGUUUCUGCACGUGUGUGUGUGUGUGCGUGUGUGGGUGUGUGUGUGUGUGUGUGUGUGUGUGUGUGUGUGUGUGUGUGUGUGUGUGUGUGUGUGUGUGUGUGUAGGCCAGAGGAACAACUUCAUGAACAAUCCUCGGGUACUAUUCACCAUCUUUUCUGUUGGGACAGAGCCUCUGGCUGGCCUAGAACUCAGCAAGCUGAUGUAAGCUGGCUGGCCAGUGCUGAGAUGACAGGCUACCAUGCCUCACUGGUCAGUUGGUUGGUUUGUUGUUUGUCCCCCACCCAAGUUCUGAAAAUCAGACUCAGGUUCUCACGUUUGCAAGGCGAGCACUUGAGCCCUGAGCCAUCUCCCCGGCCCAGCCUUUGUGUCUCAGCCAUUGCAUUUGCUUCCACUGCAGUCACAGGACUGGAGAUUUACACAAACAAGAGACAGGAGAGUCUCUGUGGGUAAGAGGUAAGACUCCCACACACGGUGCUGAUCUGCAUUCUUGGCAGAGGUCGCUAUGGGUAAGAGCGCCCCUGCACACAGUGACGAUCUCCUCUACCCUUGGCAAAAGUGCCACAUGUUCAAGUCCACUUGGCAGCAGAGUCUGUCUCUGUCACCAUGGCCGAGAGAGAGACCUCUGAGGAACUAGGAACACCCAAAGGACCCAGGACCACAGACCGUGACUGUGCCCAAAGGAGACUACCGCAGGAUAAUAACCACCAGUUUCUUCUCAUGCAAAACCAGACUUCUGUGGGAACUACAAUUGUAGUGCCUGCACUCAAGAGGCAGAGACAAGAGGCUCUCAAGUUUGAAGCUGGCCUUGGCUACAUAGUUAAAUCAUAUCUGUAAAUAAAUAAGCAAAUGUUAAA